UAAUAUUUUAUUAUAUAGUAUAUUUGACUUCCAAUCAAAAGGUCCAUAACUGGAAAUAUU
rnacentral:tRNA from 1 species